GUGCCAGCAGCCGCGGUAAUACGGAGGGUGCGAGCGUUGUCCGGAAUCACUGGGCGUAAAGGGCGCGUAGGCGGCGGGGUAAGCGUGCGGUGAAAGCUCGGGGCUCAACCCCGAGUCGGCCGUGCGAACUGCUUCGCUCGAGCACUGUAGAGGCAGGUGGAAUUCCGGGUGUAGCGGUGGAAUGCGUAGAGAUCCGGAAGAACACCAGUGGCGAAGGCGGCCUGCUGGGCAGUGGCUGACGCUGAGGCGCGACAGCGUGGGGAGCAAACAGGAUUAGAAACCCUAGUAGUCC
rnacentral:rRNA from 1 species